rnacentral:rRNA from 1 species
AAAGUCGUAACAAGGUCUCCGUAGGUGAACCUGCGGAGGGAUCAUUACACAACAAAAUAUGAAGGCCUGGCUUUCGCGGCCGGCUGAAGUAUUUUUUUCACCCAUGUCUUUUGCGCACUUGUUGUUUCCUGGGCGGGUUCGCCCGCCACCAGGACCAAACCAUAAACCUUUUUUUCUUAUGCAGUUUCCAUCAGCGUCAGUAAAAACAAUGUAAUUAUUACAACUUUCAACAACGGAUCUCUUGGUUCUGGCAUCGAUGAAGAACGCAGCGAAAUGCGAUACGUAGUGUGAAUUGCAGAAUUCAGUGAAUCAUCGAAUCUUUGAACGCACAUUGCGCCCUUUGGUAUUCCAAAGGGCAUGCCUGUUCGAGCGUCAUUUGUACCUUCAAGCUUUGCUUGGUGUUGGGCGUUUUUUUGUCUCCCUCUUUCUGGGAGACUCGCCUUAAAACGAUUGGCAGCCGGCCUACUGGUUUCGGAGCGCAGCACAUUUUUUGCGCUUUGUAUCAGGAGAAAAGGACGGUACUCCAUCAAGACUCUACAUUUUUCACUUUUGACCUCGGAUCAGGUAGGGAUACCCGCUGAACUUAAGCAUAUCAAUAG